UGUCUUGUAGCUCAAGUUGGUAGAGCGUCGAUCUAGUAUUUCGAAGGUCGCGGGUUCAAAACCCAGCCGCGGCAG
rnacentral:tRNA from 1 species